rnacentral:rRNA from 1 species
AUUGAACGCUGGCGGCAGGCUUAACACAUGCAAGUCGAGCGAGCGGCGGACGGGUGAGUAAUGUCUGGGAAACUGCCUGAUGGAGGGGGAUAACUACUGGAAACGGUAGCUAAUACCGCAUACCAUCAGAUGUGCCCAGAUGGGAUUAGCUAGUAGGUGGGGUAAUGGCUCACCUAGGCGACGAUCCCUAGCUGGUCUGAGAGGAUGACCAGCCCAACUGGAACUGAGACAGGGUCCAGACGCCUACGGGAGGAAGAAGUGGGGAAUAUUGCACAAUGGGGGAAAGCCUGAUGCAGCCAUGCCGGGUGUGUGAAGAAGGCCUUGGGGUGGUAAGGCACGUUCAGCGAGGAGGCGUUACUCGAAGAAGAAGCAACGGCUAACUCCGUGCCAGCAGCCGCGGUAAUUC